AAGGACCCCGCAACCGGUUCGGAAACGGCCUUAAGGGUCGGUAAUGGCAGUUGGCCGGUGGCUCGCCUCGUGCGGGUCGUCGGUUGUUAGCCGUCCGAUCUUGGCUCGUGGCCGGACCGUGGUGUCGCGAGGCCCGUUUGGGCUUCUUCGCCUCCUCCGUUCGCGGACGCCGGGAUCCCGGGGCAGGGGUUCGCACUUCUGCGGGCGCACGGACCGACUCCGUGGCCCAGCGGUCGCAUGCGUCCUCGUUGGCCUCGGUGAACCCGUCGGAGGUUGGCGGUUGGCGGGGAGUAGAUCGGUCACCCACCCGACCCGUCUUGAAACACGGACCAAGGAGUCUAACAUGUGUGCGAGUCAAUGGGUCUCGAAUAAGCCCAGAGGCGCAAUGAAAGCAAAGGCAGGACUCGACGCCUGCCGAGUUGGGAUCCUCCUUCCUUCGCGUCGGAGGCGCACCAACGACCCGUCCUGUCCCAUUUAUGGGUUGGGCGGAGUUUGAGCAUACACGUUGGGACCCGAAAGAUGGUGAACUAUGCCCGGGCAGGACGAGGCCAG
rnacentral:rRNA from 1 species